rnacentral:rRNA from 1 species
CACUAUCGUUAACUGAAUACAUAGGUUAACGAGGCGAACCGGGGGAACUGAAACAUCUAAGUACCCCGAGGAAAAGAAAUCAACCGAGAUUCCCCCAGUAGCGGCGAGCGAACGGGGAGCAGCCCAGAGUCUGAAUCAGCUUGUGUGUUAGUGGAACGGUCUGGAAAGUCCGACGGUACAGGGUGAUAGUCCCGUACACCAAAAUGCACAGGUUGUGAACUCGAAGAGUAGGGCGGGACACGUGGUAUCCUGUCUGAAUAUGGGGGGACCAUCCUCCAAGGCUAAAUACUCCUGACUGACCGAUAGUGAACCAGUACCGUGAGGGAAAGGCGAAAAGAACCCCGGCGAGGGGAGUGAAAAAGAACCUGAAACCGUGUACGUACAAGCAGUGGGAGCACCUUUAUGGUGUGACUGCGUACCUUUUGUAUAAUGGGUCAGCGACUUAUAUUCUGUAGCAAGGUUAACCGUAUAGGGGAGCCGCAGGGAAACCGAGUCUUAACUGGGCGUUAAGUUGCAGGGUAUAGACCCGAAACCCGGUGAUCUAGCCAUGGGCAGGUUGAAGGUUGGGUAACACUAACUGGAGGACCGAACCGACUAAUGUUGAAAAAUUAGCGGAUGACUUGUGGCUGGGGGUGAAAGGCCAAUCAAACCGGGAGAUAGCUGGUUCUCCCCGAAAGCUAUUUAGGUAGCGCCUCGUGAAUUCAUCUUCGGGGGUAGAGCACUGUUUCGGCUAGGGGGUCAUCCCGACUUACCAACCCGAUGCAAACUACGAAUACCGAAGAAUGUUAUCACGGGAGACACACGGCGGGUGCUAACGUCCGUCGUGAAGAGGGAAACAACCCAGACCGCCAGCUAAGGUCCCAAAGUCAUGGUUAAGUGGGAAACGAUGUGGGAAGGCACAGACAGCCAGGAUGUUGGCUUAGAAGCAGCCAUCAUUUAAAGAAAGCGUAAUAGCUCACUGGUCGAGUCGGCCUGCGCGGAAGAUGUAACGGGGCUAAACCAUGCACCGAAGCUGCGGCAGCGACGCUUAUGCGUUGUUGGGUAGGGGAGCGUUCUGUAAGCCUGCGAAGGUGGCCUGUGAGGGUUGCUGGAGGUAUCAGAAGUGCGAAUGCUGACAUAAGUAACGAUAAAGCGGGUGAAAAGCCCGCUCGCCGGAAGACCAAGGGUUCCUGUCCAACGUUAAUCGGGGCAGGGUGAGUCGACCCCUAAGGCGAGGCCGAAAGGCGUAGUCGAUGGGAAACAGGUUAAUAUUCCUGUACUUGGUGUUACUGCGAAGGGGGGACGGAGAAGGCUAUGUUAGCCGGGCGACGGUUGUCCCGGUUUAAGCAUGUAGGCGGAGGUUCCAGGUAAAUCCGGUACCUUUUAACGCUGAGGUGUGAUGACGAGGCACUACGGUGCUGAAGUAACAAAUGCCCUGCUUCCAGGAAAAGCCUCUAAGCAUCAGGUAACAUUAAAUCGUACCCCAAACCGACACAGGUGGUCAGGUAGAGAAUACCAAGGCGCUUGAGAGAACUCGGGUGAAGGAACUAGGCAAAAUGGUGCCGUAACUUCGGGAGAAGGCACGCUGGUGUGUAGGUGAAGUCCCUGCGGACGGAGCUGAGACCAGUCGAAGAUACCAGCUGGCUGCAACUGUUUAUUAAAAACACAGCACUGUGCAAACACGAAAGUGGACGUAUACGGUGUGACGCCUGCCCGGUGCCGGAAGGUUAAUUGAUGGGGUUAUCCGUAAGGAGAAGCUCUUGAUCGAAGCCCCGGUAAACGGCGGCCGUAACUAUAACGGUCCUAAGGUAGCGAAAUUCCUUGUCGGGUAAGUUCCGACCUGCACGAAUGGCGUAAUGAUGGCCAGGCUGUCUCCACCCGAGACUCAGUGAAAUUGAACUCGCUGUGAAGAUGCAGUGUACCCGCGGCAAGACGGAAAGACCCCGUGAACCUUUACUAUAGCUUGACACUGAACAUUGAGCCUUGAUGUGUAGGAUAGGUGGGAGGCUUUGAAGCGUGGACGCCAGUCUGCGUGGAGCCAACCUUGAAAUACCACCCUUUAAUGUUUGAUGUUCUAACGUGGACCCGUAAUCCGGGUUGCGGACAGUGUCUGGUGGGUAGUUUGACUGGGGCGGUCUCCUCCCAAAGAGUAACGGAGGAGCACGAAGGUUAGCUAAUCCUGGUCGG